rnacentral:guide_RNA from 1 species
AUAAUACAAGAUCAAGCUAUGUAAGUUAGACAAUGUGAAUUAUACUGU